rnacentral:rRNA from 1 species
CACGUAGGGGGCAAGCGUUGUCCGGAUUUAUUGGGCGUAAAGCGCUCGUAGGUGGUUCGGUAAGUCGGGUGUGAAAUCCCCAGGCUUAACCUGGGAACUGCAUUCGAGACUGCAUUGCUAGAGUAUGGGAGAGGGAAGUGGAAUUUCCGGUGUAGCGGUGAAAUGCGUAGAUAUCGGAAGGAACAUCAGUGGCGAAAGCGACUUCCUGGACCAAUACUGACGCUCAUGUGCGAAAGCGUGGGGAGCAAACAGG